rnacentral:ncRNA from 2 species
GUAAACUUCCGCACUUCUGGUGCCGCGCGCGCUUUUCGGCGCACGCGGUUAAACGGGAAGCAGGGCGCGCGCGGUCCCCGGACCGCCGACGCGAAACCUGCGCUGCCCCCGCAACGGUAAACGACCGCAUGGUCUUCAUGCAGGUCGAUCCUGAUCGCAGGUUCGAAGUUCAACGUGCGAGUGUGCCACUGCGCGUCAUGCGUGGGAAGGCGGGAUCGAUGUGUCGUAGCCCGGAUACCGGCCAGAAAAGAGGGACGUCC